rnacentral:rRNA from 1 species
UACAGAGGGGGCAAGCGUUGUUCGGAAUUACUGGGCAUAAAGGGCGCGUAGGCGGCCAACUAAGUCGGACGUGAAAUCCCCGGGCUCAACCCGGGAACUGCGUCCGAUACUGGAUGGCUUGAAUCCGGGAGAGGGAUGUGGAAUUCCAGGUGUAGCGGUGAAAUGCGUAGAUAUCUGGAGGAACACCGGUGGCGAAGGCGGCAUCCUGGACCGGUAUUGACGCUGAGGCGCGAAAGCCAGGGGAGCAAACGGG